CGGUAGGCCCCGCCCACAGAGGAGGGUACCCCGCCGGAAGCCCCCUGCUCUGUGGGAACCGGAGGGAGGACAGCGCGAGGUCCCCGGACAAAGCGUGGCGCAUAAGUCCGGCCCGUAACUUGGUGGGCAGGCAACUUAGGGGAUGUGGGCCUGGUUAUAGCUGAGCAUGCUUUUCUAUUCCUCCCAGACCACAGUUCUUCAGACCUGGAGCCACUUUCAGAGAAGAGUAUAAGUUGCACUGAAUUGAAAAAGGGAAAAGUUUAGGACUGCAGAAGAUGGAAUUCCUGGGGACGUUAAACUGGGCUAAGAUGGAGCAGAUAAGAUUUCCUUAAUUAGAGCAAGACACACCUAGUAUCUAGAGCCUGGAAGUCUUGGUCAAGGAUUCUCCCUAACAUCUCAGUUUCUCAGCACUAACAUUCCUGCUACUAAAAUGAAGUGAGAAAUUAAUUUCUGAAGUUAAGUAAAGAAAUAAACUAAAAUUCCUAGAAAAGAGGUAAGAAGAAUGAGCCUUUGAAAAAUGUCUUCACAAAGACUGGCAUGAUGGCAUGGAAGAAAGAGCCCCAGAUAUCCAGUAUACAUCUCAAGGUCAACUUGUCCAAAACAGAGCUACUGAUGAUUUUCCCCUUGAAAUCUACUCUUCCUACAGCUUAUUCAUCUCAAAUAACACAUUCACUCUCAUGGCUUCAACUAGGCGGAAUGUGACUGACCAACAGUGUGGCUCAUCCUUGUGGAGGAGAACAGAUGCCAAUUAAUUUGACAUGACCAUAUCCAACCCAGGAAGUGGGUGGGAGGUAGGAAGGCAAAUGAGCAUCUCUCUCUUCCUAUUUCAGAUAUGAAUAGGUUAUUUCCUCUGAUGGAAAAAAACAUGCAGAACUUUCUGUAAGUGAAGGAGUGGACUUUGGAGAACAAGCAGGAUUGUCCAAUAAAUGACCUGAGAACACUUUUUGUGUUGCCUGCCUAUGAACAGUUGGUUCCCUGUCCGCCAGGUGGAAGGGGCUAUGCCUGAACUCAGCUUCCCAAGAGACCUGGUGGUUGAACUGCUAAUGUUUUCCUGAAUCCGCAUGAACAGGCUGGAGUACAGUGGCAUGAUCAUAUCUCACUGCAACUUCUACCUCCUGGGCUCAAGCAAUCCUCUUACCUCAGCCUCCUGAGUAGCUGGGACUAUAG
rnacentral:lncRNA from 10 species